rnacentral:rRNA from 1 species
GACGAACGCUGGCGGCGUGCCUAAUACAUGCAAGUAGAACGCACAGUUUAUACCGUAGCUUGCUACACCAUGGACUGUGAGUUGCGAACGGGUGAGUAACGCGUAGGUAACCUGCCUGGUAGCGGGGGAUAACUAUUGGAAACGAUAGCUAAUACCGCAUAAUAUUAAUUAUUGCAUGAUAAUUAAUUGAAAGGUGCAAUUGCACCACUACCAGAUGGACCUGCGUUGUAUUAGCUAGUAGGUGAGGUAACGGCUCACCUAGGCGACGAUACAUAGCCGACCUGAGAGGGUGAUCGGCCACACUGGGACUGAGACACGGCCCAGACUCCUACGGGAGGCAGCAGUAGGGAAUCUUCGGCAAUGGACGAAAGUCUGACCGAGCAACGCCGCGUGAGUGAAGAAGGUUUUCGGAUCGUAAAGCUCUGUUGUAAGAGAAGAACGGGUGUGAGAGUGGAAAGUUCACACUGUGACGGUAUCUUACCAGAAAGGGACGGCUAACUACGUGC